AGCAUCCUGCUGCAGUAGUAUGUGAUAGUUACAUAAGGUGGUUGGGUAGAGCAGCCUUCGACAGCUUUGCCAGUUCAACCCCCAGGGUCAGCAGUGAGAGAUGGUCCUGCAGAGAGGCAGCUGUCUGUUCUCCUUUGCUGUCUAGGCUCAAGCCAAAACUAUCUUAAAGCACAUGGGACCUGCGGUGAAGUAAAUAGAUGGCAGCAAAGCGAGCUCCAACACAGAGCUUGGCAGGACGGCCGGGACUCAGCAGGGCUGUGCUGUGUCCUUCAAGAAGUCAGCUGCAUGGCUGUGGCAGGGACCUUCUGAGAGGAGAAGGGAUUUUGAUUUGUAGUGAAGUGGAUGAGUUUGUCUUCAUCACAGAUAUUGUUUCAGGAGCAGUUGCAGUAUCAAGAAGGUGCCCAGCACAGCUCAGAACUGUUUCCAAUGGUGUCUCUAACUUCAUAGUUGCUGCACUGACCAAGUGGGAAUAUGAUGGCCCAGACAGAAACUUGCUAUGGCUGAUUCUGCUUCAUUGGCUGCAAGGAUUUGGCACCUGUUGAUUCUGUGCUUCAUUACGAGGAGGUCAUGGUAAAGUCUGCUGGAUUUUUUUUAACUUUUUUCUCUCUAAUAGAACACUAUUGAGGAGAAAUUGCACCUUGUAACUGAUAAGCUGGUAGUCUCACCUGAGCAACUAAAACUGCUUUCAUGUUAUACUUGUGGCAAUUUAAAAUAUUUAUGUCACUAGUACAGAAAGUUGUUAUUUUUGGGUGGCUACGUACUGUCAUGUCUUUCAAUACAAGUUUAAAUAUCCAACUGUUCUGUUUUGUAGGACAGCUGCCAAAUCAACGGACUAAGAAAUUAAUUAAGCAACACUGCACUGAGCCUGUGCAUUUUCCACACGCCCAAUUACUAGUGACCUAAAUCGAGGGCAAAAGCCUGGAGUCUGGAGCUCGUUUAGAGAAGUGAUCCUUCCAUAAAACUGCACAUCUCUAUCUUAUGUGGAACGUAUGUCCUAAAAUAAUGUCAGUUUUCUUCACCCCUGAUGACUGU
rnacentral:lncRNA from 1 species